UGUUGCUAGAUUUUCGAAUUAUUAACUACUGUAUAGAAAAAAUGCCGUUAACUCUAAUUACUUAACUUGAGUUGAACUCAAGUUACGUGAAUUUCAACUCACAUCUCUCAUCUCUAGGUUGAGUUAAUUAAACCGAAUAGUGUUAUUUGAAAUUCUACAAUUGGAUUGUAUCAUAUGAACUAUGACGCCAAAGCUAACUGCCAUCCACCUCGAAAGAUUGUGUUUGCGCAAAAUUCGAUUGCAAUCUAAUGAUCAACUAUUCGGAAUUAUUGGCGUAUGAUGGACAGAGGGAUGGAUAAAUAUAGACACACAUUUUCAUUAAGAUUUAAUUAAGAUGUGGACAUGAUAAGUCCUAUAUUCCAGGUAAAAGCAAACGAUACCGAUAUACGAUUAUUAGUAAGUAAUAAAUAAUAACGGAAAAAAUCAGGCUCAAAUUGAUACAACUUGUUCAGCAC